rnacentral:rRNA from 1 species
UACGGAGGGAGCUAGCGUUGUUCGGAAUUACUGGGCGUAAAGCGCACGUAGGCGGCUAUUCAAGUCGGGGGUGAAAGCCCGGGGCUCAACCCCGGAACUGCCCUCGAAACUAGAUAGCUAGAAUCUUGGAGAGGCGAGUGGAAUUCCGAGUGUAGAGGUGAAAUUCGUAGAUAUUCGGAAGAACACCAGUGGCGAAGGCGACUCGCUGGACAACUCCUGACACUGAGGCACGAAAGCUAGGGGAGCAAACAGG